rnacentral:lncRNA from 1 species
UUAAACCACGCAACAAUAUUUCAUUAACAUCCAAAAUCAAUACAUGUCAAACACCCAAUCACAAAACCAAAAGUAUACCCCUUACUAUCAAUAACAAACACCAACAACCGACUUAUCAUACUCAUACCAAUACACACAAGAAACACCUCAGUCAAACAUAAACAUUCAAAUACCAUAACAACAAUUCCUUUUUACCCUGACCAAACAUUCACACCAAAUUCACCACUCCAC